rnacentral:lncRNA from 1 species
AGGUUUUAGACUGUUUUAACUCAAGUCUGUAAUACGUUUGAUGUGUGACCAUUUUUAUUAAACUUUUGACUUUGGUAAUUUGGCACAUUUUAUGUUUAUACAAAAGUCAGUAGGAGAACUGCAAAACCACUAACAGACAGGGUUGGUUCAUCUGUCAGCAACCUGUCAAAACUGAUGUAGUACAGCCAUGAUAUUAAGAGGACCAACUCUAAGCCAACUCACAAAUAUGUUAUGGCUGCAACACAGUGGGGUAGGACUUUCUUAGAGGUCAGCAGAUCCAAUGGUCAAGGCCUAGAGGCUCCAGCAUCAAUUUGUGCUUUGUAUGUACAGUGUCAUGAGAUAUAAACAGGAGAAGCACAGAAGAAGACAAACUAUAAAACUCCUAAUGUAGACUUUGUAUUUAGCGGAGUAUCAUUGUAAGAAAAAAGCAACUUGGUUGUCUUUCCCUUGAAUGCAGGUUGAAACAGAGAUGUAUAAAUAAAAUGUUAGCUAAUAGCAAUGCUGUCAUCACAAGCUGGCUAUUAUGACAUGGAUCUAGUCUUACCAUGACACAGUCAUGACCCAGACAGCCCAGACUCUGGCACAGAUAUGCAGGAAGAGAAGGAGGUCGGAACACAACCCUAACUUCUCUUUCACCUUUCCCCUUUUUUUUUGCCCAGACAUUUUGGACCAUGCUGGUCCCUCACCCUCCCUGUCUUCUCUUAUACCUUCGCUCUGGGCGCAUCUAAUUGAAAGCGAUCUUGAGGCUGAGAGAGUUCCGUUUCUUCUCUAAUCCCUCCACUGGGGGAGGCUCACAUGGUCUCAAUUACCCCCACCCCACCCCACCCCAGAACACUAGGUCCCCUCUCUUCUCUCUCCCACUAUCCAUCCCACCGUCUCACCGGUUGCUCCUCUGCCAAUGCACCGGUCCGGGCCCUUUUUCAGCAGUUUAUGUUAUUAAGCACACACUGCCUAGUUCCUGUCCUUCACAGGGGCCUGGAGAUGUUAUCUCUCCUGCCGCCGUAUACAGUUACCUCCAAAAUAUUCCAUAAAUUAGAUUGAGAUUGGCAAUUCAGAAUAUAGAGGUGGAGACUGUGGUGGUCAGGGAUUGGCUGGGGAUGGGGGGGAUAAAGGAAGCGCAGUGUAAGUAAUAGCAUGGGAGGAUCUUGCAGUGUUUUCACUGGAUAGAGAAACACAGGGAGGUAUGUCAUCGGCAGACUAAAGGUGAAAAGAGGAGAAGAGGAGGGUGCUUAGCGGCUUUGGGAUAAGAGGGAGAGGAGGUUAAAAUCUGGUUCCUUCUUGGAUAGAGAUCCUUACAGGGGUGGAGUUGAAUAUCAAGUCCAAAAUUAGUAAGACUGGGCAUUUACUGGGCUUGAGGGGCUGUGUGCAUUGAUACACAUGCAUCUCUCUUCUGUUAUUAAACAAGGCUGUACUGGAAAAGUGACUUUUAAAGUCGUGAACAGCCCUGUCAAUCCUAAAAGCAAAGAGAAAGGCCCUGAGCAGCCAAGGACAUCCAUGACCAAUUAGAUUAGAAGAAUCCUGUGAGGUCCUUAAACAAUGGUCUCUUAGAGUACCUGCAAUAAUACAAACAUGGCCCCUGACACACAACUCAAUAACUUCAAAAGAAACCAUUACUGAUCCUGGCUGAAGCAGCUCAAGACUUGAACUAGCAAUCCCAAAUUCAAUAAACUGACUGCAAAGUUGGAGCCUCUCUGACAGACAGGUGAUGAGUUCACAAUUUUACCCAGUCUAUUAGACAAUAACAUGCAACUUUCAUGUUCUUUUCAGCUAUUGUUGGUCACGGCUUUGUAUUUGUAUUAAAAAUUCUGAUAUAGCAACCUUUUUACUUGUUUUUAUCCUUUUAUCAUUUUUAGGACCCCCCUGUUUUCUCUGAGGGAGCCCUCGGCACCGGGAGUAGUGGUCGCUUGUGAUUGCAGGGGCCGGCCACGGGGUUCCUGGUGGAGGUUGCUGUCUGACACAUCCCUCCACUGGCCGUGUGUCGGCGUCCUGUGGCUGCGAGUGGCUCUCUGCUCCUGGUGCUGACGGCUCCUCUGAUGGCGCCUUCUCAACUGGUUCAUCUGUACUCAGCCUCAUUAUCCAUUAUCUUAGUGUGUGUAUGUGCGGGUGUGUCGGCGUGUGUGUGUGUGUGUGUGCGUGCGUGUGUGUGUGUGUGGGUGGCGGUUGGCGGUGGGGGUAAAGGGGCAUCUGGGAUAGUUUUUUAUUUUUGUUUUUAACUUGACUGCACAGCACUUUGAGUCACACUCCUGUAGGAAAAGUGUUAUAUAAAUAAAGUUUGAUUGAUUGAUUGAACCUAAAAAAACUUUAAUGAUACUACAUAGAAAAUAUAAUGAUUCAAAUAUGAAGCUGGGUUUUACAGUCAAGCAGACUGCUAUUCUUACUUUAUAAACAGUAUUGUUGCUAAAACAGAACUAAAUGAGGGGAAACUAAGAGUAAAGAGUCAUUUUUGGGGUAAAAGUGGGCAAGCAUUCAGCCAAGCUUGGCAGGUAUGAGCAGGCGUUAAAGGGGAGAGGGAAAUGGGGGCACUGGGUUUAGGUCAAAGGUUCAGCCUAAACCUUGGGGGCUGAUUGUUUCUAUAUUCUGUUACUUCCCUGACUCUGUGCUAGCUAAUGUGGCACUCUAUCCCUUGCAUUAGGACCGACCUCUUUAGGAGGCAGCAGCACUUCACAGUAUUUCCAGAUGGGCACAUAAUGAUCUGAGGGGGCUGUGGAAUAAAUUAAAAAUGACCACAUAUCAACGCUAAACCACCACGGUGCAUAACUAGAAUCAAAUAAAGGAAGUCUUGUUCUAUUGGACGAGAAGGAAAACUGAAAAUAAUGAAAGAUGGCAAAGGUAGAUCUGCAGAAUCAGAGGUUAUGAGUAAAAUAAUGAUAAUUUUUUAAAAAGUCCACAGCCGUUAUUAACAAAGAAGUACAGCAUGUAAAAUGAUUGGAUUAUCUAGUUUGGCACCAGCGUAGACAUUGGUCGUAAUCUGGAGUAUAUGACAUUAAAACAUUGUUCAACAACUCUUUGUCUGAUUCUCACUGUCUACUAUCUAGACAUCUUUACAUCAUUUCUAUCAGGGGCAGUCCAUUUUUUAUUUUUUUUUAUUUUUUUAUUUUUAUUCAUAUAAAAUGCAUGAUGUUAAAUGUUUAAGAGUGCCUGAACCCCUGAGCCCCUGAUGAUAGGGCACCAACUCCUAAUGUAGAGCUGCAGAGGCAGCCUUUACUUGUCUGUCCUCCACUCCGGAGCAUGUGGUUUUGGUUACAGAAGGUUUUACUGCUCAACAAUGUUUCUGCCUUGGAGCCCAGCACAUUG